rnacentral:misc_RNA from 1 species
AAGACUAUAGACCUGCGGAGUACCUGCGGAAGGAUCAUUACAGAGUUAUCCAACUCCCAAACCCAUGUGAACUUAUCUCUUUGUUGCCUCGGCGCAAGCUACCCGGGACCCCGCGCCCCGGGCGGCCCGCCGGCGGACAAACCAAAACUCUUGUUAUCUUAGUUGAUUCUCUGAGCGUCUUAUUUAAUAAGUCAAAACUUUUAACAAUGGAUCUCU